AUUGAACGCUGGCGGCAUGCCUUACACAUGCAAGUCGAACGGUAACGCGGGGGCAACCCUGGCGACGAGUGGCGAACGGGUGAGUAAUACAUCGGAACGUACCCAGUAGUGGGGGAGUAGCUCGGCGAAAGCCGGAUUAAUACCGCAUACGACCCAUGGGUGAAAGCGGGGGAGUCGCAAGACCUCGCGCUAUUGGAGCGGCCGAUGUCGGAUUAGCUAGUUGGUGAGGUAAAGGCNCACCAAGGCUACGAUCCGUAGCUGGUCUGAGAGGACGACCAGCCACACUGGGACUGAGACACGGCCCAGACUCCUACGGGAGGCAGCAGUGGGGAAUUUUGGACAAUGGGCGCAAGCCUGAUCCAGCCAUGCCGCGUGUGUGAAGAAGGCCUGG
rnacentral:rRNA from 1 species